CGGGCGCAAAAGCAAAAUUGUGCCAUGGAAGCGGACGGAAGUCACGGAACAAAACGGAUGUGUGGUGAUGGGACAGUAAUGUCAUUUUAGCUGUUUCACAUGCCCCUUCUUCUCUUUAUAACCUUUUUGUACUCGACAGUAAGACAGAUAAAAACCCUAGAUAUUAGCGUGAGCAAAUUGUGAUGAAGAUUUGAAUCAGCAUGGAUCUCGGUGCGUUUUUAGAUGAAGAUUAUGAUUCGGAUGACUAUGAUCAUUCAAUAAAUUAUGGUGAUGGUUAUGAUGAUUAUGAGGGUGUAGAUUUUAGUGAGUAUAUUGAUGCUGAAGAAGGUGAAGGGAGUGAGAUGUCACCCGUGGGGACUGUUUUAAAGGAUGGCACAUGUGACGAGAAGAAUAAAUCAGAUAGGUCAGAAACAAGAAGGGAUUCUCAAAUUAUUCUACAUCGUCACAGUGGUGAUGAAGAGAAAACUAACAUGGAUAUCGAAAAUGGAGCUUCAGAGGAGAAUAUGGCAACUGAGAGGAAGAAAAAGGAGAAGCGCAAGUCGCAGGAGGAUGGGGUAGAAUCAGAGCAGAACGACGGUAUUGAAAUUGCUAUUGAAGUGAAGAAGAAAAAGGAUUCUAUAAUCGAGAGUAAUGUUUAAAUGAAGAGAAAACUGGCUUGGAUAUCAAGGAUGGGAGAUUUAGAGGAGAAAAAGGAGAAUAGACAAAGGAGCAUGGGGUCAAAUCAGAGCAGAACGACGGUAUCGAAACUCCAUUGUUGUGAAGAAGAAAAAGAAGUCUAUAACCAAAAGUGAAAAGUGAUGUUUAAGUUAUACACGAAGAUAAAGCCAUUAAAGAACGAAGUCCGUCCAUUCUUUCAACAAGAUGUGCAAAGGCCGCCUACUACUCCAGUGCGAUAUCAUUCAUUUCGGACUUGGGGACGGCUGAAAGGCAGGACAUUUCUCUGUCUAUAUGGAAAUAUUGGUUGGAAGGUGUUUCUGGAAUGCUGUUUUCUCUUGAUUAGGUUAUAUAUGGCACGAGGCACAGGUUGGCUGCUUGGAAUGUUACCUGGGCCUUCCAGAGCUGUGAACUGUGCUGGAUGGAAACCGUGGAACCUGCACAUGCUGGUAUUAUUUGCAAGUGAAGGCCGUACUGUUCCAGUUAGAGGUUCAAUAUGUGUUAGCUUGAAGCAAAAAGAAACCCAUGAUAAUCGGGUCGUCUGCCAUAGCAAUGGAUGGAGCUCUUCAGUAUCAAAAGAUGAUAUGCCAAUCAUCUUAGUUCGGUGUGUGGAGUCUGCUACUUUGGUGAUGUUCUAAAUUCAGUUUAUUGGCUAUCCAAUUUCUGAACUUCUCAACUGCUUGUGGAAAUGCUUGAGAGAUGAAGUGAAAGCUAACAUGGAGAAGCGCAAAUUACUGGAGGAUUGGAUCAGAGGAGAAGGGCGAUAUUGAUACCAGUGAAGUGAAGAAGAAAAAGGAUUCUAUAAGCAAACAUGAUAUUUAAAUGAAUAGAAAACUAACAUGGAUAUAUACUGAGGGUCCAAGAUGGUGCUUCAGAGGUGGAGCUGAACGAGAGGAUUGAAACUAUUAAUGAGUUUGGGGAUUUGAAUAGAGGAGCGCAAGUACUGGGAAAGUCCCCAAUCCAAUAAAAACUACUGGACAGGUUUCCCUUUAAAUUUUGUAAUAGAAAUGGUCUAAUAUUUCCUGGCAAGAUGAAAUGAUUUCGAAUCUUUUAGAUGCUUGAGAGUAUCCAUAGCGCGAAAUGCGAAAAAAAAAAGAAACAAAAAUGCUUAAAUAAAAAGAAGCUAAAUUCAGGUUUAGGUUUGGCAUUGGAACUGAAAACCCGCAGUGGUGGUUAGGAUAUUAAACGAGGCGUCCCAGGUGUAAACUGUGUUUACCAGGCUCACUUUUAAACCAAACCUGGUGCAACUAAGCACAGUAUAAAAACACGCUAUAUAGCCAUGGUCAUUUUAAUAGUGAGCCUAGCAAACAACUACAGUGGCUGAAUUUGACUAUUGCCAGAAGGUGAAUAUUUAUCACUGUUCACUGCGGCCAACGUUAAGAUUAUUUUUUAUUUUUUUUCUGUUCUGUAACUCUACAUUGUGAAAUGACCACACAUAAUGUCUACUACUAGGGUUGCUUUGAUAACUUCUUUGAAGAUUCUGCAUGAAGAUAAAGCCAUCGAAGAACAAAUUCCGUCCAUUCUUUCAACAAGAGGUGCAAAGGCUGGCAACAACUCGUACAAAGAAAACCUGAAACUUGUGUAUGAUCACGUUAAAAGAUAGAAGACGAUCUAGAACUUGGUGAAGAUCUUCUAAAAAUUUCUGAGAGACGAAAUGCUGAUGAAAACCAUGCUAUUUUUGGCAUACACAGCAGAGGGGCAUAGUAGGUUGAAGGCUGUUGAUAUAUGUUUGUCCUUGGAUCAGCAAAAUCCCAAUGUUCAGAUGUUCUGGAAGCUGAGAGUUUGCGCCAGAUAUUGCUGCAGUCAAUGCUGCAGGUGCUCAAAGCAGAAGCAAUAACUAGAAAACUUGUCCAGUAAUUGAUUGUUUUGUGAAUUUUUGUUUUUCAAGUACCCUUUUUUUGGAGUAAUUAUUUCUCCCCAUUGAUGAUGUUCAAUACAACUGCAGAGUCAGUCAGGUUCUGUAGCAGAUUUUGACUUUGACUCUGACUCUAACUCUGUUGAGUAAAUUAUC